CCUACGGGGGGCUGCAGUCGAGAAUAUUCCACAAUGGACGAAAGUCUGAUGGAGCGACGCCGCGUGCAGGAUGAAGGUAUUCGUAUUGUAAACUGCUUUUUUCAGGGAUGAACUUCGGUGACAGUACCUGGAGAAUAAGAGGUUACUAACUCUGUGCCAGCAGUAGCGGUAAUACAGAGACCUCAAGCGUUAUCCGGAUUUAUUGGGCGUAAAGCGCAGGUAGGUGGUUAUAUUAGUCAGAUGUCAAAUCUUGGAGCUUAACUCCGAAACUGCAUUUGAAACGGUAUAACUAGAGGGUAUGAGAGACCACUGGAACUUAUGGUGUAGCAGUGAAAUGCGUUGAUAUCAUAAGGAACACCAAAGGCGAAGGCAUGUGGUUGGCGUACUCCUGACACUGAGCUGCGAAAGCGUGGGUAGCGAAUGGGAUUAGAUACCCCAGUAGUC
rnacentral:rRNA from 1 species